CGCAAAGACCCUAAACGGACCUAGCAUGAGUUGACACUUAGACUUAACCAUUAAGUCACCAAUUCUCUCCACUUUCAUUACAAUACCUGAUUUCACUCUCUCUCCUCUCGUCACUCUCUAGUUGGCCGAAGAUGGGAAGAAAAAAAUCUAGCCAAAAUCCUCACAAACUUGCUUCAAUCCACUUCCAAAUUUCAUCAUCCAUUAGAGGGCUUUGAUCCUAGCUUGGAAGAGGGGGCUGUUCAUCGGUUUUCUUGGAGGAAUUUCGGUCAAGAUUUCUGCCCUAAAGCUGUCCAACUAAGUUCUUGAGGAUCUCAAGAGGACUUCGAGGGAACUCCCGGCGAAGCGUCUUAGAGCUAAUUUCUCAAACUUUGACUUUUGAUACUUGGUUUGGAAGUGGAAGUUCUGAGGCUUAAUUAGUGACCCCCAAAAAUAAUUUUUCCCCCACAGGGCUCGAGGCCAAAGAAAGCGCUUGUAUUGAGUUAUUAGUGCCUGAAGGGAUAUCUCAUAUAUAAUUUGAAUUCGAUUCACUUGAUAAGUAUUUGAUGUAAUUAUUUGAGAACUGAGGACUUUUGUCUUAUUCGGGGAAUGAUACCCUUACUUGAGAUUUGUAAUGUAUCUUAUCUCGUUCUAAGUUUGAAAAAUGUUAUUUCGUUUA